UCAGUGUAUGGGGUGCCGACAUCCAUGAGCGCUUGCGAACACUGGUUAAAUAUAGCCUCCGUCCAGCCGAGCGCCACUCUCCACCCCACAAGUCCAGGAGCAGAAACAGAGCCGAGGAGGAGAUAGGUCUUCUCGCCAAGGACUUCCGAACUCUCGCUCUCCCCAGGCCUGCCUUUUUCCUCACUCACUUUCCCAUCAGGAAUGAGAAAUGAACUUUUCAAAAGAAAAAGUGAGAAUGAAAGAGUUCUGAGCUCCUCCUCCUCCUCCUCCUCCUCCUCCUCGUCGGUCUCUCUCGCUCACCCGCGUCUCUCCCAUCCCCUGUGUUUCCUGCACGUUCCUCUGUUUGCUCAGGCUUGGUGGGAGGACUGAUUGCGGUCUUUACUCGCCGCUGUGCGUUUGCUGCGUGACCUCUAGACCUCAAGCAGGAGGAGAAGAAAAAGAAUGCAAAAGGAGGCAUGAAAGCUCCCUCUGACUAACAGUUCAGCUCUGGAGACUCAUAGUGCCGUAGAACGAGAGCGCCGUGCUGAGCGCCGCCGAGGUCGAGCGGUGUGUCUGCUCUGGGAUUACCUUCCUCUUCACUCGCGCUUCUCCUCCUGACCCUGUGACCCUGGACUUCUGCGAACAGGGGAGGAUGAGAUCCAGGAACAGUAGUGUGCAGAGCCCAGCCAGCGGGCCGCAGGGUGUCUCCCAGCAAACCAGUAGUAACAGAGAGGAGCUGGGUAUCAAUGCUCUGGGCUCCAAAAAGAAGAAGGUGAAGCCCCAGCAGGAGAAGAAUCUGGAACACGAGGUGUGCGGAACAGUCAAAAGUUCCCCGAAACCCUCAGGGACCAGUGUUCAAAAGACAGGAGUCAUGGACUUUGCCAAAGAGGACCUCUUGCGACUCUUGGGAGUUAUGGAGGGAGAAGUUCAGGCGCGAGAAGACGUCAUCCACAUGCUGCGGUCCGAACGGGUUCGACCCGAGGCCCUAGAGGCCCACUACGGCUCUGCCGCCCCCUUCAGGCCCCUGCAGGCCCUGCACCGAGACGGCCUCCUCGUCAAGUCCAAGUCCUUUGGGGACGACGUGUACCAGAAACCCAUGGUGGAGCUGGAACGUCUGGAGGACAAGCACCGCGAGACGUACCGCCGCAUGCUGGAGCAGCUGCUGCUGGCGGAGAAAUUCCACAGGCGCACGGUCAACGAACUGGACUGCGAGAAGCGCAAACACACCGACUACAUGAACAAGAGCGACGACUUCACCGACUUGCUGGAGCAGGAGCGCGAGAGAUUAAAGCGAUUGUUAGAACAAGAGAAGGUGUAUCAAGCACGGAAAGAGAAAGAUCACAAACAGCGACUCGAGAAAGUCCGGGAAGAGCUUGUGAAACUAAAGUCCUUUGCCCUGAUGCUGGUGGACGAACGGCAGCUCCAUAUUGAGCAGAUCGAUCAGCAGAGUCAGAAGAUCCGGGAUCUCAAUCAUAAGCUCCAGGAUAAGGAACACAAGCUGGCAGCCAUCAGCAAAAAAAGCAAGGAAGACAGCCAGAGGAUUAUAAAGGCUGAGGUGGAACUGGAGCAAAAGGCAUCCAAGUUUGCACAGGAGCAUGAAGAGAUGAUUGCCAAACUGGCUGCCCAGGAGUCUCAGAACCGUCAGCUACGGCUGAAAUUAGCUACAAUGACCCGUAGGAUUGAAGAGCUGGAAGAGAGUAACAAGGCGCUGCAAAAGUCUGAGGAUGAACUCCAGGAGCUGAGGGACAAGAUCAGCAAAGGGGAGUGCAGCAAUUCCAGUCUGAUGACAGAGCUGGAGAAUCUUCGCAAGAAGGUUCUGGAGAUGGAAGGCAAGGAUGAGGAGAUCACCAAGACGGAAACCCAGUGCAGGGAGCUGAGGAAGAGAUUGCAAGAUGAGGAGAACAGUAGCAAGGACCUGAAGCUAGAAGUGGAGAAACUCCAGAGGAAAAUGGUUGAGAUGGAAAAAUUGGAGGGGGCUUUCAAUCUGAACAGGUCAGAAUGUGUACAGCUGCAUGCCAACUUAGAAAAAGAGAAGAGCUUAACAAAAGACUUAGGUGGAGAGCUGGAAACACUGAAAAACAGAGUGAAAGAGCUUGAGUCGUCUGAAUCAAGACUAGAGAAGGCUGAAAUGGGUCUAAAGGAGGACCUGAAGAAACUCAAGUCUUUUACAGUCAUAUUGGUAGAGGAAAGGAAGAACAUGGCAGAGAGAAUUAAACAAGAAGAAAAAAAGGGUGAGGACCUCAACAAGAUGAUGAAAGGUGAGCAAGCAAAGGUCAUGGAGGUCACAGAGAAGCUAAUUGAUGAAAGUAAAAAGUUUCUUAAACUGAAAUCUGAGAUGGAGGCUAAGGUGACCAGCCUCACAAAAGAGAAAGACAAAUUAACGUUUAAACUUGCACGUGAACAGGAGAAGUAUAAUGACCUGAGUUCAGAAGCUAAUCUCAUGAAAAGUAGGAUGGAUGGCUUAGAGGAAGGUGAUCGAGAAUCUGCUAAAGGGAGGAUUAAGAUAGAGCUCGGAAGACUUUCAGAUGAUGACAACAAAAUCAAAGAGCUAACCAUGGAAAUUGAGAGACUGAAGAAUCGUCUACAGCAGCUUGAGGUCGUGGAAGGGGAUCUCUUGAAGACAGAGGAUGAGUAUGAUUUGCUGGAGAAAAAGUUCAAGACAGAGCAGGAUAAAGCAAAUGUCCUGUCACAGUUGCUAGAAGAAAUGAAGAGUCAAAUUGCCAGGAACAAGGCAAUAGAAAAAGGGGAGGCAGUGUGUCAGGAAGCAGAGCUGAGACAACGGUAUAAGAUGGAGGAGGCCAAAACAAGAGACCUUCAAGCAGAUGUGCUGGCACUAAAGGAGAAGAUCCAUGAGCUCAUGAACAAAGAAGACCAGCUAGCUCAGCUACAGGUGGACUACUCUAUCCUUCAGCAGAGGUUCAUGGAAGAGGAAAACAAAAGGAAAAACAUGAGCCAGGAAGUGCUCAACCUCACCAAAGAGCUAGAGGUUACCAAGCGCUACAGCCGUGCACUACGGCCCAGCAUGAAUGGAAGGAGAAUAAUGGAUGUUCCCUUGACUUCGACGGGCGUUCAGACCGAUGCAAUGGCCACUGAGACAGGUGAGGAAGAUGCAACUGCUGUGUUUAUUAGGAAAUCUGUGCUGGAGGAGAAUCAUAUCAUGAGCAACCUGCGUCAGAAAGGUUUGAAGAAACCACCUGUUCUUGAUCGCUACCCUCCUGCUGCCAGUGAGCUCAACAUGAAGAAAUCAUGGAUCCCCUGGACGAAAAAAAAGGACACUGUCACCCAGAGUGGGGCAGAAAAAGUUAACCAUAUCAAUGGAGAAUCAACCCGCCCACCUGAGCUGACCAUGUCCCAGAAGCCAGGACAACCCUUACACAUCAGGGUUACUCCUGACCAUGAGAACAGCACUGCCACUCUGGAGAUUACCAGCCCACGUGCAGAGGACUUCUUCUCCAGUACCACGAUCAUCCCCACCUUGGGUCUUCAGAAGCCUCGCAUCACUAUUGUUCCCAAACCCAUCACUGUUUCCCCGAAGAACAAAUCUAGUGAAGGCUUGGGGCCCCAGGCUGCAGAACGUGCUAAAUCACCUGUCACCAUCACCACCAUCUCAAGGGCCAAGUCCCCUGAGAGAGGCAAGACUGCUUCCUCUGACACUCCUCUGUCACCUCUAUCACCUGUUUCCAUCAUAACUGUCAGCACCUCCCCAGUUUCCAACUUGACUGGCUCACCGGAGCCUCAAGAGCCCACCACAGGCCGAGCAGUGUUUAAAUUGUCCCCCGAUAAACAUGGUGCCCCCGCACCUAUCAGGAAGUACAACGCCAAUGGCAACAUCAUCACCACCGAAGACAACAAGAUCCACAUCCACCUGGGGCCUCAAUUCAAGAGACCCAUAGAGCCUUGCAGCCCUACCAUCACGGUGAGGCCAGUGACUGUGACAACAGAAAACAAGGAAAUUACCACUGGAACUGUACUGUGCUCUCCGCAACACAACUCUACUGCACCGCCCAAGAGUGCUCCCAGCAAGGUGAUGAGCAGCAUCACCAUCAAUCCCGUCACCUCGGCUCCCUCCAGGCCUACACAAUCAGUGCCCGGGCAGGACAUGCAGUCAUCUCGACUCACGCCCACACGCAUCCCUGUGUCAAAAGGUAUGAAAACCGGGAAGGCUACCCUGGGCAUCGCCACGGCAACAAAAACAGACUCUCGGACCGAGGGCCAGCCAGUGAGAGUCGAACUGAAGAAGUCCGUCACCGGUCAUGGGGGAGGGAAAGGCUGAGGGCCACAGCGGCCGCUGACGCGGACGCGUCUACCGCUAAGGCACACCGGAGCGAAACACACCCACAUCGCUCUUGUAGGACAGAGCGGUCGCUCAAGUGUACGGCAGAGGAUGCUGUUACACUCACUCUGGAAACGAGCAGCCUGUGAAGUCGGUGUAACUGAAUCUCAGAUGCUGGGACAUUACACUACAUGUUUUUUAUAUAAACUAUUGUGCACCAUUUGAGAGUUCAGCCAAGAUGAAGCUACAACCCUGAGCUCCAGGGGCACAUGCCCUCCGACAUGAACCACCUCAAGGGCCGCAGGGUGCAGCUCUGUGGCCUUCGGUUGGCUGCAAGAGGUUCGUUGUGCGGCAGCCUGGUUUCUGACCUUCAUGGAUUAUGCUGCGGUGGCCUCUCGUGGGCUCUGAGAAAAGCACAGAACGCCAAUGCUAUGGCAGAGAGAGGAGAUCUCAGACUUGGUUCAGGAGAAGCAUAAUGCAUCGUCUGAGACGGAGUUUGGCUACAAUCCUUUGAUUUGUGUUGUUUUCAAAUAUCUGCAGGAGUUGCCUAUUGCGUCCACAGGGAAAGGAAGGCAUGAUUUUGGAAAGAAGCAAUAUUAAAAUGAUAGGUUUUCUCCACUGAGUUUCACUAAACAAAUAAUGCAAUCCGACUGUGUCAAAGAUACACAGCAUCUACUUUCACUGUCAUCGUGAAGAGCUCAUCUGCAACGCUUGCAGGAGAACUAUAGAAUAUGCUUAUUUUCUGGUAGAAAGUUAUGCUAAAAUAACAAAGCAGGUAAAAGCUGUAAAAAUUUAGCUGUUGCACUGUGAUGUCAUAGAUCAAGACUGGUUGUGUAAGAUCACAUUCGCUUCGUGUUAUAAUCCAGAGCACGUCCAAGAUUAAACACAUCUGAUUUGUAUGCUUGAUGGUUUAAGUUUUAAGAUUAUAUAUCUGUUUGAUUCUUUCCAUUUCAAAGCAAGAUUUAAUUGUUUUAAACAUGUAUCUGAUUAGUAAUUUAGAUUUCUUGAUCACAUCAAUAAAUACAU